UGGGCCGCGGCUCACCGCACGCUUAGCGUGCAGAGGCGGGGAGCAGGCGAUGGUGGAUUAGGAACUCGCGGAUUGGCGGGAGGCUAUGCGCUACGGCCCGUAGGUCCCGCGAGUAAAGACAGAGCGGGGAGCCAGUGAUUGGCAGGAAGCGGCGCGAGGCGGUGGGCGGACCCCGCGGUGAUGGACGGAGCUAGGCGCCCGGCGACGGGCCGGGAGAGACACGCGAGGAUUGGCUGGAUGCAGCGGUGGCGCAGAGCUGACCGGAGGAAACAGAGUAGAAGCUGUAUAACUGCUGCACCGAAAAGGCGGUGGAAGGGGGAGCCAGGCUGCGUGCCUCGUCUUAGAGCCGUCGCACCAAACCGCUGCUCCCACUCAGCAGCGCAUCCGCGGCCGCGGGGCGGCAGCUCCAGGUCGGCGGCGGGUUCCUGUGCUGCUCUGCGCUUGUGGGGAGCAGCCGGAGGUUCGGAGGGCCGGGCGCGGGCCAAGGAGGCUCAAGGGCAGCGGAGUAGGUGGUCCCCUCCUGCUCCGCCUGGGCACAGCGAUCUGGACACGUCGAACACAGCCAUGUUUUCUGAGCAGGCUGCUCAGAGGGCACACACACUGCUAUCCCCACCAGCAGUCACCAGCGCCACCUUUGCCCGUGUGCCCGUGGCAAUGUACACCAACACCUCACAGCCUUUUCGCCUGGGGGAGCGCAGCUUUAGUCGGCAGUAUGCCCACAUUUAUGCCACCCGCCUGGUCCAGAUGAGGCCGUUUCUGGUGAGCCAGGCCCAGCGGCAUUGGGGCAGUGGAGUCCAAAUAAGGCAGCUGUGUGAGCUGCAGCCAGGGGAGAAGUGCUGUGUGGUGGGGACCCUCUUCAAAGCCAUGCCGCUCCAACCCUCCAUCCUGCGGGAGGUCAGCGAGGAGCACAACCUGCUUCCCCAGCCCCCUCGAAGCAAAUACAUCCACCCCGACGAUGAGCUGGUCUUGGAGGAUGAAUUGCAGCGCAUCAAACUGGAAGGCACCAUUGAUGUGUCACAGCUGGUCACAGGGACGGUCCUGGCUGUGCUCGGCUCAGUGCGGGAGGAUGGGAAAUUCCAGGUGGAGGACCACUGCUUCGCUGGGCUUGCCCUUCAGCAGCCCACACCUGCCCUGGACACAGACAGGUUUGUACUGCUGGUGUCUGGCCUGGGCCUGGGCAGCGGCGGGGGUGAGAGUCUGCUGGGCACCCAGCUGCUGGUGGACAUGAUGACAGGGCAGCUUGGGGAUGAAGGGGAGCAGUGCAGUGCCGCCCACAUCUCCCGGGUCAUCCUUGCUGGAAACCUUCUCAGCCACAGCACCCAGGGCAGAGACUCCAUUAACAAGGCUAAGUACUUAACCAAGAAAACCCAGGCAGCCAGUGUGGAGGCCGUCAAGAUGCUGGACGAGAUCCUCCUGCAGCUGAGUGCCUCAGUGCCCGUGGACGUGAUGCCAGGCGAAUUUGACCCGACCAAUUACACACUCCCCCAGCAGCCACUGCACCCUUGCAUGUUCCCACUGGCCACUGCCUACUCCACGCUGCAGCUGGUUACCAACCCCUACCAGGCCACCAUCGAUGGAGUCAGAUUCCUGGGCACGUCCGGACAGAACGUGAGGGACAUUUUCCGGUACAGCAGCAUGGAGGAUCACGUGGAGAUCCUGGAGUGGACCCUGCGAGUCCGCCACCUCAGCCCCACAGCCCCCGACACUCUAGGUAACGGUGCUGGGCCGCUGGGACCCCUGACCUCACAGCACUGGCAGCAUGGAUUUACCCUCAUCUGCCUGCUGUGACCUGUCUGAGGAAAAGUCCAGGAGCCUGACACUUUCCUGGAUGCUCUGUGGAAUCUACCUCUGAUGAUGACCACGGCCUUCUUUAGGGGUGACAGCCAAGUUGGUCAGCGUGUGGCACCCUGCCCCAUGCACACCCAGUCAGGCAAGAGCAGUGGGGCAUGCGGACCUGCCCUGGCGCUGCUCAGCAGUGUCAGGUGGCUUUGUCAUGACUCUGGUGAGGCUGCCACUGGCUAAAAGAACCAUGUACAAGAAAAAAAAAAAACACAAAGCAUGUGGGCAGGGGUGGUGCCCACAUCCAUCUGUCAUCCCCUGCCAUGUGUCUGUGGGCUGGGGUGAGAAGCCCUGUGCUCAGCUGCCGGCCUGCCUCUCCAGGUUGUUACCCAUUCUACAAAAUCGACCCGUUCAUCCUCCUGGAAUGCCCUCACGUCUACUUCUGUGGUAACACCCCCAGCUUUGGCUCCAGAAUCUUCCAAGGCCCUGAGGGCCAAAGGGUGCUCUUGGUGGCUGUCCCAGACUUCAGUACCACACAGACCGCGUGCCUUGUGAACCUACGCAGCCUGGCCUGCCAGCCCAUCAGCUUCUCGGGCUUUGGGGAAGAGGAGGAGGACUUGGAGGGCUUCAGUCUGUGCUCCUGACUCACAAGGCUGCCUUGUCCAGAGAGGUCCAGCCGUUCAUCCCCUGCAAUGGCACCCCUGCAGCAUUAGCUUUAUAAUAAAAACCCGACUAGCCACUGGU